UUAAUGAACUAAGCCGAAGCGCUUUCGAGCGUGCACAGCUAAGUACAUGGUUACCCCACGGUAUUCCGGUGAAAAGCAAGCGUCGACCAAAGGCGGUGCCGGGGGUGAAACUCCGGCGGCACGCCGGUCUUCGCGGGGGUCGUUUCGCAACGACGCCUGUUUUCCGGUGCCCGGUGAACGCGUUCGGUACUUCGACCGAACGCAAUUUUCUCGGCGUGCGCUGCGCUCGUGGGUACCUGUCUCGCCGGCGUCGUCGCCGGUCGAGGGCAGCUCGUCCUAGGCUAGGUUUAAUGAACCGCCGCGGCGGUCGCCCGAGCGUACGUCGAACCCUUCACACUUUCACCACGAUCAUAUCAAGCUAUUGCUCUCUAAGACGGAAGCCCGUCGUCUCCCGACGACGGCUCCGUGUGUCUUGUCGAUGCCCUUUCGCAAACGUUGCGCGAACGAGGCGGUGCGACUCGACGACUGGCGUCUUCGCCGACGCUCGAAAAACGAAACGACAACUCUAGGCGGUGGAUCACUCGGCUCGUGUGUCGAUGAAGAGCGCAGCCAGCUGCGUGAAUUAAUGUGAAUUGCAGGACACAUUGAACAUCGAUAUCUUGAACGCAUAUUGCGGCCUCGGGCAAUCCCGAGGCCACGCCUGUCUCAGGGUCGGUUGAACGUCAAUCGCGAAGCGGCUCUCAAGCUCGCGCAUUGGGCGUCGCAGUCAACCGAGCGUCGUCGCGACGCUCGACGAACUUCGUCGCCUCAAGUACAGACGGGUUGCUCGGUCUUCGGCUAGUCUGCCCGACCGGGACGGUGACUCGACUCUCGUGGAGCGCACCAUCUCCCGCGUCGGACGGGGGCUGUCGUCCGUCGGCUGACCCAACUUUUUUCACACUGACUUCGACCUGAGAUCAGACGAGAUUACCCG
rnacentral:rRNA from 1 species